rnacentral:misc_RNA from 1 species
GAUGAAGAACGUAGCGAAAUGCGAUAAGUAAUGUGAAUUGCAGAAUUCAGUGAACCAUCGAAUCUUUGAACGCACAUUGCGCCCGCCAGCACUCUGGCGGGCAUGCCUGUCCGAGCGUCAUCUCAACCCUCGACCGCCCCCCCGGGGGCGUCGGCGUUGGGGGACGGCCCCCGCCCCUCGACCGGGCGGCGGCCGCCCCCGAAAUGCAGUGGCGACCCCGCCGCGCCCUCCCCUGCGCAGUAGACGAUCAACCGUACACCUCGCACCGGAGCGCGGCCCGGCCCCGCCGUGAAAGCCCCCACUUCCGAAAAGGUUGACCUCGGAUCAGGUAGGAGUACCCGCUGAACUUAAGCAUAUCAAUAAGCGGAGGA